rnacentral:tRNA from 1 species
AUUGCAUAAAACUUAAAANUUUAUUACCAGAGGUUCAACUNCUCUUCUUAACA